UCCGGGAAGGCUCUUUUAUUGUUGCCCCGAACACGGCUUCUCACAUUGGUGUGAGCCAUUUGAAGUUGGUUAUAGUUGCUCACAUGGUGAUACAAUAGCUACUCGAAAGCAUGAUGACAGUGAGGUGACAAGUGCAUCGACAAAUCAAGUUCAAUCGAAGAACAAUGGCAAGAUUGAAGAUGGAUUAGUUCGUAGUUUGGUAGUGCUAAACCUAGCAAUCCUAGCAUUAUACAUGAUAUGUAAAAUAACUGUACUACUAUUUCUGCAAUAAAAUAUUGUACCUUUAUGAUAUAUCAAACAUAAACUAGUAUUUCAAAUCAGCCCAUAAGCACCAUAUGUUUAGUGAAUAAUUACAUAUCAAAUCAGCCCAAAAAAUAGCCUGUAAAAAAGACCACCAAAAACAGGCUAC